rnacentral:rRNA from 1 species
UACGAAGGGUGCAAGCGUUAAUCGGAAUUACUGGGCGUAAAGGGUGCGUAGGCGGUUCGUUAAGUCUGUCGUGAAAUCCCCGGGCUCAACCUGGGAAUGGCAAUGGAUACUGGCGGGCUAGAGUGUGUCAGAGGAUGGUGGAAUUCCCAGUGUAGAGGUGAAAUUCGUAGAUAUUGGGAAGAACACCGGUGGCGAAGGCGGCUCUCUGGACCGAGACUGACGCUGAGGCGCGAAAGCGUGGGGAGCAAACAGG